GACGAACGCUGGCGGCGUGCCUAAUACAUGCAAGUCGAGCGGAACUUAUCCUUCGGGGUAAGUUUAGCGGCGGACGGGUGAGUAACACGUAGGCAACCUGCCUGUAAGACUGGGAUAACUACCGGAAACGGUAGCUAAUACCGGAUAUGCAAGUGGAUCGCAUGAUUCGCUUGGGAAAGACGGAGCAAUCUGUCACUUACGGAUGGGCCUGCGGCGCAUUAGCUAGUUGGUGAGGUAACGGCUCACCAAGGCGACGAUGCGUAGCCGACCUGAGAGGGUGAACGGCCACACUGGGACUGAGACACGGCCCAGACUCCUACGGGAGGCAGCAGUAGGGAAUCUUCCGCAAUGGACGAAAGUCUGACGGAGCAACGCCGCGUGAGUGAUGAAGGUUUUCGGAUCGUAAAGCUCUGUUGCCAGGGAAGAACGCUCAUGAGAGUAACUGUUCAUGAGGUGACGGUACCUGAGAAGAAAGCCCCGGCUAACUACGUGCCAGCCGCCGCAGUAAAAC
rnacentral:rRNA from 1 species